CACCCACGGUGGAUGGUAUAUCAACCCAGCUUCUUCUACUUGUUGACUAAUAGCAGCUUCCAACUCUGGAUAAGAAGUCUUUUCAAGAGCUUGAUUUGGAAACAGAUCAGCCACCAAUGAUAUAAAUAAUGGUAGUAAUAGCAGAUAUUCUUAGUAUAGUAAUAAGUAUAAUUAUGUACCUAUGAGCUUCGAAAGAUUCAUAUCUCUUAAAACACGCAUAACGAUCGUGCUUUCAGAAUCUUUGGAGUUUACCCUUUUCGACGCUCCUAAUGUUCUUAAUACGGACAAUAUGUUUCUUAGACCAAAGUCGUAAUGGACCUUCAUAAAUGAACAGGAUGUUUAUUGAAAUUACAAUUUAAUUAUUGUGUUUUUAAAUAUAUUACCUGUUUUGUAAGUUGUUCUUCGCACAAUUUGUACAAAGUGUAAAAUUUCCGAGCAAGCGUGAUGUUUUCCAGGAAACCACAACUAGCUAGUUUUACUCGAAUAAUGAUUUGUCUAUCAGGUACCAUCAUAGCGACGGUGCGGAACUGUAUCUUUAGAUUCUCUGGAAGUUCUUUUCUACCGGCAUAUCCAGGAUUCUGUAACGUAAUUCUUAUCUUAUAAUUCUAACUUUUACAUCACAUACAAAGUUUCCUGCAAGAAAAUAACUUUACAUUACAGUAUUAA